GACGAACGCUGGCGGCGUGCCUAAUACAUGCAAGUAGAACGCUGAAGAGAGGAGCUUGCUCUUCUUGGAUGAGUUGCGAACGGGUGAGUAACGCGUAGGUAACCUGCCUUGUGGCGGGGGAUAACUAUUGGAAACGAUAGCUAAUACCGCAUAACAAUGGAUGGCACAUGUCAUUUAUUUGAAAGGGGCAAUUGUUCCACUACAAGAUGGACCUGCGUUGUAUUAGCUAGUAGGUGAGGUAAUGGCUCACCUAGGCGACGAUACAUAGCCGACCUGAGGGGGUGAUCGGCCACACUGGGACUGAGACACGGCCCAGACUCCUACGGGAGGCAGCAGUAGGGAAUCUUCGGCAAUGGGGGCAACCCUGACCGAGCAACGCCGCGUGAGUGAAGAAGGUUUUCGGAUCGUAAAGCUCUGUUGUAAGUCAAGAACGGGUGUGAGAGUGGAAAGUUCACACUGUGACGGUAGCUUACCAGAAAGGGACGGCUAACUACGUG
rnacentral:rRNA from 1 species